CGUGUAGGCGGCUUGAUAAGUCCGGUGUGAAAUCUUGGGGCUCAGCCCCAAGCCUGCAUCGGAUACUGUCUCGCUCGAGUUCGGGAGGGGAGAGCGGAAUUCCUAGUGUAGCGGUGAAAUGCGCAGAUAUUAGGAAGAACACCAGUGGCGAAGGCGGCUCUCUGGAACGAUACUGACGCUGAGACGCGAGAGCGUGGGGAGCGAACA
rnacentral:rRNA from 1 species